UACAAACAAACAUGGAGGCUCCCUCUAGCAGCUUUAUUGGAUUUACCCAGCCAUACAAGUUUUAGCCUCCAGAGCCAGAAUCCAAUUCAGAGGACAAUGACCAGCUACCCGAGAAUCAACCUCGUCCCUCUCGGGUCUGCAACACAAUGUAAGCCUUCCUGAAGAGCCAAGGUGCAGGACUCUUCAUCCAGGCCUUGAGCCUGUCUGCGUGAACCCCUACUCCCUGGAAAAUGCCCAAAACACCUACCAGGCAGAUCAUGGGCCACUGGAGAUGAAGGACAGAGCUGUUCGUGCUCGCUGCCUACCCUACGGAUGUUUUUGUUUCCUGGUGCCGGGGAUACCUGGGUAAGCACAACAGGGUUGUCAUACCUUCUUGUGUUGUGCUCCGUAUUCAUCAGGAGUACCCGGAUGAAGAUGGGGAGUACACAGGCUUUAAACCUCCCAUUUAAGGUCUUUUGUAUUGUAAUGGUUUUGUAAUGUGUUAUGUACACAUUAUUUAUUCAAUACACUUUCAAUACAUUUCAUAGAAGUCUUGGACAGCUGUCAACCAGUUUUUGAGUAAUGACAUGUUUGUAUGUGUGUCACAACUCACUUUUUUUUUUAAAUGGAGGCUGGUGGCGCUCUAGUGCAGGGGCAGACUGAGGCAGGAGGUAGGCUGGAGGAAGAUGACAACUGCACAUGGGGAAAACACUUGUCAAAUCUUUACUAUCAUGUUCAUACAAUAUUAUCGCAACAGGCCUAAUGUAAUGUAUAUAUUAUACCCAAAUAAAAUUUCGAGUAAAGGCCAGAAUAGUACGGUGGAGAUGAUGACUUA